GACGAACGCUGGCGGCGUGCUUAACACAUGCAAGUCGAACGGUAAGGCUCCAGCUUGCUGGGGUACAUGAGUGGCGAACGGGUGAGUAACACGUGGGUGACCUGCCCUGCACUUCGGGAUAAGCCUGGGAAACUGGGUCUAAUACCGGAUAGGACCAUGGUGUGGAUACUGUGGUGGAAAGUUUUUUCGGUGUGGGAUGGGCCCGCGGCCUAUCAGCUUGUUGGUGGGGUAAUGGCCUACCAAGGCGGCGACGGGUAGCCGGCCUGAGAGGGUGGACGGCCACAUUGGGACUGAGACACGGCCCAGACUCCUACGGGAGGCAGCAGUGGGGAAUAUUGCACAAUGGGCGGAAGCCUGAUGCAGCGACGCCGCGUGGGGGAUGACGGCCUUCGGGUUGUAAACUCCUUUCACCAUCGACGAAGGGUUUCUGACGGUAGAUGGAGAAGAAGCACCGGCUAACUACGU
rnacentral:rRNA from 1 species